rnacentral:rRNA from 1 species
CCUACGGGCGACAGCAGUAGGGAAUCUUCCACAAUGGACGAAAGUCUGAUGCAGCAAAGCAGCGUGCGUGCAGAAGGGUUUCGGCUCGUAAAGCUCUGUUGGUAGUGGCGUAAGAUAGAGGUAGUAACUGGCCUUUUUUUGACGCUAAUUACUUAGAUAGUCACGGCUAACUAUGUGCCAGCCGCCGCGGUAAUACGGAUGGGGCCAGCGUUUUCCGGAUUUUUUGGUUGUAAAGGGAGUGCACGCGGUUAAAUAAGUCUGAUGGGAAAGCCUUCGGAUCAACCGGAGAAUUGCAUCAGAAACUGGAGAACUUGAGUGCAGAAGAGGAGAGUGGAACUCAAGGUGUAGCGGUGGAAUGCGUAGAUAUAAGGAAGAACACCGGGGGCGAAGGCGGGUCUCUGGUCUGCAACUGACGCUGAGGCUCGAAAGUAUGGGUAGCGAACAGGAUUAGAUACCCCAGUAGUC